rnacentral:rRNA from 1 species
UGCCAGCCGCCGCGGUAAUACGAAGGGGGCUAGCGUUGUUCGGAAUAACUGGGCGUAAAGCGCACGUAGGCGGAUUGGAAAGUUAGAGGUGAAAUCCCAGGGCUCAACCCUGGAACUGCCUUUAAAACUGCAAGUCUAGUGUCCCGGAGAGGUUGGCGGAAUUCCGAGUGUAGAGGUGAAAUUCGCAGAUAUUCGGAGGAACACCAGUGGCGUAGGCGGCCAACUGGACGGGUACAGACGCUGAGGUACGAAAGCGUGGGGAGCAAACAGGAUUAGAUA